rfam:Camel alphacoronavirus isolate camel/Riyadh/Ry141/2015, complete genome
CUAGUCUUAUACACAAUGGUAAGCCAGUAGUAGUAGAGGUAUAAGAAAUUUGCUACUAUGUUA